CUUGAGGGAGCACUGACAGACAAGAACACUUGUAGCAGAAUGCAGAAGGCUCAUCAUCAAGGAAGAUCUCUGCUGCUGUGCUUAUUAUCACUGCUCUGGCCAUGGGCUGAAGUGGGAAGCAGUAUGAGUGUAUUGGUCUCAUUAAGUAAGGGCAUAAGUGGAAAUAUUAAGACAGAAAAGGAGGUGGAAACAUCGUAGUGCAAGGAGGGCCCACAAUGGGAGAGACGCCAUGGAGCUGCC